rnacentral:lncRNA from 1 species
GACUUUUUGCCUCUUUAUAGGUAACCUGCUUUCUCUGUCUGGAUACCCGCAAAAGUUUUUCUUUAUCCCUGAAAUUUGAAAAGUCACCAGGAUGUGCCCAGGUGCUGCUUUCUUCUCAUUGAACUUUACGGGUAUCCUGUGAGCUUUCUUCAUUUGCUGCCCUCCCAGAUGGCUUAAUAGCGUGACUUGGCUCCACUCCUGCCCACGGAAACAUGCCUGGACUAUCAACUAGACUGUAC